rnacentral:rRNA from 1 species
UACAGAGGUCUCAAGCGUUGUUCGGAUUCAUUGGGCGUAAAGCGCGUGUAGGCGGCUAGAUAGGUCCGUUGUGAAAACUCGAGGCUCAACCUCGAGACGUCGAUGGAAACCAUCUGGCUAGAGUCCGGAAGAGGAGACUGGAAUUCAUGGUGUAGCAGUGAAAUGCGUAGAGAUCAUGAGGAAGACCAGUGGCGAAGGCGGGUCUCUGGACAGUUCCUGACACUGAGGCACGAAGGCCAGGGGAGCAAACGGG